rnacentral:lncRNA from 1 species
ACUGUGGCAGGAGCAGUGGCGCUGAGCGUGCCCACGGGCCGCGGCUUGGGUCUCUCUCAUUUUCCAGGUGGUAUGGCCGUGGACAAUGGCAGUGGCGCCUGGCUGGCCCAAGAGCCCAGUCCAGCUACGCCUGCCUGAUUCCAGGCGUCACCACCAACCCGGGGGCCGCGAGGCUGGGAUCAGGCACCCCGGAGCCGCUUGCCUGUGGCCGGGCUGCUCUCCCCCUCUACGCCCAAGCACCACCAUCGCCGCGCUGCGCUUUCCGCCGACCUCCCAGAGCGUCCCGAUGUCGCCGGCGGCCAGACCAUGCGCGAGACAGCCCAGGCGCCAGAGACCUCCAUCCCCUGCCAGGGCUCUGGACUCUCCAGGCGGCCACCCUCUCGCUGGGACUCCAGGCCUUCCCCAGGCUCUUGAGCUCCCGAGCUUCCAACACCUGGGGCCCGCUUAGGACGGGGUGUGCUCCGAGGCGUCAGGGCCCAGGGCCCACGGUCCUGGGGUCCCCUCCGGUCCUCCGCCUUGCCGCGGAAAAAUUAUUUUGGAUUCCUCACCGCCCCUCCUGCAAGGCCCCCUCUUGCCCCACACACCCAGAGCCGCCAGGGCUGCCCAGGGGCGAACAGCCGGCCCAGCCCCACAGGCCCUUUUUCUCACAAUGCUCACACCAUCGUCGCUUGUUCUGAGGAGGACCCGCCAUGGCCAAAGGGGCAAGAAGGCUCUGCUUUGCCCCGCCCUGGCACUAGAGCCCCGGCAGCCUCAUCCCGGGAAAGAGGGGCUGACGGACACCCAGACACACCCCACCACUACCACGAGCAAACCCACCCUGACACACCCACGGAUACACACGGGUGCAUGCGCGCAGACACACACACACACCACACCCGGGCACACACACACGGACACACAAAGACACAGACACAGAUAGCUCAAAGGGAGACCUCCCCUCAUAUUGUCUUAUGCCCAAUUUCUGCCUCCAAAGAAAGAAGAAGUAAAAUCUAAAAGGCAGAAAUGAAAUCCACAGGCAGACAGCCCCGCGCCACACCCUGGGCCUGGUAGUUAAAGAUCGAUCCCUGACCUACUCGGUUAUAAAAGCACUGUGAAAAUCCCUGUCCUGUUUUGUUCUGAUCUAAUUACCUGUGCAUGCAGCCCCCAGUCACGUACCCUCUGCUUCCUCAAUCCAUCAAGACCCUCUCACGCGGACCCCCUUAGAGUUGUAAGCCCUUAAGAGGGACAGGAAUUGCUCACUCGGAGAGCUUGGUUUUU